UUCGCAAUGCCCGAAAGGGUGACGAAGCGACGCCGCGUGGGUGAGGAAGGCCCUCGGGUUGUAAAGCCCUGUCAGGAGUUAAGAAAUGUAAGUGCGCUAAUAUCGCAUUUAUUUGACAAAGGCCCCAAAGGAAGCCACGGCUAACUCUGUGCCAGCAGCCGCGGUAAUACAGAGGUGGCAAGCGUUGUUCGGAAUUAUUGGGCGUAAAGAGCACGUAGGUGGGUUUGUAAGUCAGAUGUGAAAGCCUUCUGUUCAACGGAAGAAUUGCAUCUGAAACUGCGAGUCUUGAGUGUAGGAGGGGAGAAUGGAACUUCUGGUGGAGCGGUGAAAUGCGUAGAUAUCAGAAGGAACGCCGGCGGCGAAAGCGAUUCUCUGGCCUAUUACUGACACUCAGUGUGCGAAAGCUAGGGGAGCAAACGGGAUUAGAUACCCCGGUAGUCCUAGCCGUAAACGAUGGGCACUAAGUAGAGGGGUUUU
rnacentral:rRNA from 1 species